CUACCCAAUGUGAACACUUCCUUUUAGUUGACAACAGCGAGUGUAAAGAGGCAGUGAGUACAACUAGCAAAAAUACUACACAGCAGGAAACUGUACACAAGACAACGGGUAAACAUUUAGCUUAGCAACUCUUACCUGAAGUCGAAUGUGUCGUGCAUAACCAAGGUUAGUGUUCACAGGAGUACACACAGCAUGCACUCUGGAUGGUCCAUUUCAUUGUCCUGCAGCCACGUACACUGUAUAUGACUAAGAUUUGAAGGCAGAUGUGGAUUCAGUGAAACUUUGUCAUCAAUCCCCCAGUCCAUCCAUGUGUAUAAUUUUCUUCAAGUUUGACCCC